rnacentral:rRNA from 1 species
AUAAACCUUACACACUGUGUUUUUUAUAUUCGUGAUAAAAUACUUUGGUUCUGGACCUAGAAAAAGGUUUUUGGGGCCAGAGGUUUACUACCAAAACUUCAAAUUUUUAAAUGAAAUGUUUAUUAUAUUUAUUUUGUCAAUUUGUUUGAUUAAAUUCAAAAAAAAACUUCAAAACUUUCAACAACGGAUCUCUUGGUUCUCGCAUCGAUGAAGAACGCAGCGAAAAGCGAUAAGUAAAAUGAAAUGCAGAUUUUCGUGAAACAUCGAAACUUUGAACGCACAUUGCGCCCUCUGGUAUUCCAUAGGGCAUGCCUGUUUGAGCGUCAUUUCUCUCUCAAACCCCCACGGGUUUGGUAUUGAGUGAUACUCUUAGUCAGACUAGGCGUUUGCUUGAAAAGUAAAGGCAUGAGCGUACUAGAUAGUGCGACUUGAUUUAUUCAAAGUAUUAGGUUUAUCCAACUCGUUGAACAGAUCGGACGUAAAAUUCUGGUAUUGAAAGGCUCGGGCCCUACAACGACCAAACAAGUUUGACCUCAAAACAGGUAAGAAAACCCCCUGAACUUAAGCAUAUCAAAAAGCGGAGGAAAAGAAACCAACAGGGAUUGCCUCAGUAGCGGCGAGUGAAGCGGCAAAAGCUCAAAAUUGAAAACUGGCACCUUUGGUGUC